rnacentral:rRNA from 1 species
GGAGGUUACUGCUAUCGGUGUUCGCCUAACCCAUGCGAGUCAUAUGUUCUUCGUGAACAUGGCGUACUGCUCAGUAACACGUGAAUAACCUGCCCUUGGGACCGGCAUAACCCCGGGAAACUGGGGAUAAUUCCGGAUACCGCAUAUAUGCUGGAAUGCUUUAUGCGUGAAAUGGAUUCGUCUGCCCAAGGAUGGGUCUGCGGCCUAUCAGGUAGUAGUGGGUGUAAUGUACCUACUACCCUACAACGGGUACGGGUUGUGAAAGCAAGAGCCCGGAAAUGGAUUCUGAAACAUGAAUCCAGGCCCUACGGGGCGCACCAC